GUUUACCUAAGCAAGCCUGGGCAAUGGCGGGCGCCCCUCCCCCAGCCUGGCUGCCGCCUUGCAGUUUGAUCUCAGACUGCUGUGCCAGCAAUCAGCAAGACUCCAUGGGCGUCGUAGGACCCUCUGAGCCAGGAAGUUGCGCUGUACCUGAGAGCACCGAGAUAUAACAUAAGAAGCCAUCUUGGAAUUAAAGUUGUUGAAUGGAAAUGUGGCUUCAGCCUGGCUGUGUAUCACAUCCUUCUGGUUAGGGGCAUUGCUGCAGGAAUCUGUUUAUUCUCAAUUCAAGCCAAUAUGUACUGAUUGCUCUGACCUCCUCUCGUAAACAGGCAUUCUACUGGAACGUGUAAGAUAAUUUUUGCCAUCUGUCAUUUUCUUCUUCUUGAGAAAGGAGGAGAAUUACUGAGAAACAAGAAAAUGGUUUCUAGAAGAAAAUUCAGGACCUAGAAACAGUUAAUAUAAGUUGUAUCCUUGGGAAUUUCCAAGCAUACCAAAUGACUACCAGGCAAGAGAAUGUUAAGCUAUACCAGACAAUUUAAUCACCUGCAUCCAGGAUAUGAAAUCCAGAAGUUUCAAUACUAUUAGCAGACUCUGACCAUCAGAAUUUUUUUUUUUUUAUACAACUUACAUUUCUCUCAUGAGAGUUUAAGUCUGCUUCCUUGUCUUAUACUCAGGGAAGAUGAAAGGCAGGUAACAUAUCCUGUAAAAUAAUUAACUGUAAGGUUGUUAAGUUAUUCUCCUGCCUUUGCUAUUGCAGUUUAAGUAAACAGUAAAUUAGUUUAAACUUUUCCUACAUCAUUACUUUAGUUAAUGAAUUCUAUUUCUUAGAGCAGUUUUAGAUUGAUAGAAAAAUUAAACAUAGAAUGCAGACAUUUCCCAUCAUCAAUUUAUUUCUAUUUAACUAAAUGGUUAAAAACUCUUAUUCUUUUGAAAACGUCACUAAGGAAUUUAUGUUGUCAAACAAUAAAGCCAUAUUUACUGAUACUGCAUGUAAGGGUUAUGACAACACAAAAGAUGCUGGGAAAAUGGAUGAGCACCUUCAAAUAAUAGUGCAUAAUGAUGUUGGACUAGCUGACAACAUUAAAGUCUGCAAAGGUAAAGGUUAGAAGAGACCUAAUGGCUUCUUCCUCUUUUUUUUUUUUUUUUUUGGCAACGGAGUCUUGCUCUGUCGCCCAGGC
rnacentral:lncRNA from 10 species